rnacentral:snRNA from 3 species
GUGCUUGCUUUGGCAGCACAUAUACUAAAACUGGACUAAUACCAAGAAGAUUAGCAUUGCCCCUGCACAAGAUGACACACAAAUUUGUAAAAUUCAUUCAUAUUAA